rnacentral:sRNA from 1 species
UAUUUCUCCGUACGGGGAAGGAUGAGAAGCUUCGACUAAGGUUCGAUUCGAGCGCAGCGAGAAAGCGUUGCCGCAG